AUUUCAGAGGCGGGAAGAGAACAUCAUCAUCGGUGUAAUGCUCUUCCCGACUCUGCAUCAAGCUGCUGAGUGACCCACCGCGGGCAAACUCCCUUGUCAGCCUCCUGUGAGAUGCACAACUCCUCUGGAUCUUAGACAUCUCCUUUCUCCAGUGCUUUUUUUAAAAAAUACAUUUAACACCUCAUGAAAAACUGGAGUGCUGGGCUUAAAGACACGCACUACCACCGCCUGGCACUUUUGGGUAAUAUUCAUUUGCCAUGCCUCAAUUCAUGAAGAAACAUCGCUUGGCGAGAAAAUCCCAGCCGUUGGCAGCUGUAAGUGUGGUAAAAGCCAGUCUCAACAGAAGUGCAUGAAGGGAGCCGACGAUGCAUGCAUGUAAUAGGAACCACAGGACCUCAAAGGCAACGCCUCAAAAGCCGUCUCGCAACUUCAGAUGCAGAUUGGACACUUCAGAGCUCCUCUGCAGUCUCUGGGUUGGAUCCGGCCACAUUGCCUAGCGCAGAAUACCUUACAACUCUCUCUAGGUGUCUGAUGUUUUGGGAUGCCAUCUCUCUUAGCCUCAGUGGCAAUUCACAGGCAUGAUUUUGUUGAUAAUCCUCAAACCCACAGGGACUAAAGCUCACAAUCCUGUCAGAAGCUUUGAGUGUUUACCACUGAGUAAACAUGAACACUUACACCAUUUGCAUGAAUAAAAUAUAUGAUGGGAUAUUUUUAUCUAUAAAUACAAUAAACAGAGUUGAAUUGUGU
ensembl:lincRNA 2010013B24Rik RIKEN cDNA 2010013B24 gene